CGCCAUGAAACAGAUUAUUCUAGUAGUGCGAACGCGUAUGGGGCAAAUGGUAUAACCAUUCGGCUAAUAGCCACUCAUACGCGAAACAGGCUCCCUCGGGGGCCUUUUUUAUUACCUUAU
rfam:Bartonella apis strain PEB0149 NODE_3_len_493701_cov_79_7004_ID_5.6, whole genome shotgun sequence.